CGAUCACGUGGGUCUCGGCGCUACGGGUCGACGGGAAAAGUAGUCUUCUUUGCGCUGCCAUGUUGGGGACGAUUAACCCUUCCCCUUUCAGCGCGUAUUGCCGCCCUGCCAGGCUGCCGGCAGGGCCCUCAGUCAGCGUUAAAAUGGCUACAAAGCCAAUUUUAAUGCAGCCGGGCGUUGACAGGAUGAUAACUCACCCAGAAGUGCCACACAGAGGGAUUCGUUCGUUCGAGAUUUGAGGGAUGGUGGGGAGAGCACCGAGACAGAGCUUCUCCAGAGCCGCAGAGUGGUCCGAGACCCACCAGAUACCAGAAUGGAAGCUGUGUCCAGGCUGGAACCAGGUCAACCAGGGAUGAAACUGUGGGCCCAGGGCUCGGUCUGGGCUGAUGGAACACGGACAGAAAUACCUGCUUGGGUAUUUAGUGUGUCAACUCCUGUGCUCCUCUCCAUCUGCAUCCCUGGACACAGGGAUGACAGUGAGACAAAGCUAGCUCAUGUCUGGAAGGCGAAAAAUAUGCUGAUCCCUUGCUAAGACAUCAUAAAUGGACACCAACACUUCACCCAGAGGAUGGGGAGCCACCUAACGAAGAGGUACUGCUGCCAAUAUGCUGUGGGUGUGCACUGAUCACAGCACUUCUGCUCUGGACCCAGGCAAGAGUGAGUGUGUGUCGGGGAGCUUUCCCCAGUUCAUCGCUGAGACAUGAGAUGAGCAGAAGUCCCAGCUCUGAGGAAGGUAUUCCUUUUUUCUUCCUUCCUAAGCACAAUCAGCACUGGCAACAAAGAGUUUCAUAGGACUUCUGCUCCUUCCUCCCUCACCCCUCCCUGCCCCCUCCCCCCCUCGCUGGCCCACUCUGCUGUUUCUGGAGCCCGGCUGUGAACCAGCUUCCAAAAACGAUCCAACACAAACACACACAUAUUUGGGGGUGGCUAUUUAAAGCUCUGCUCACUUCCCUGCUGCAGGACAGCCUGUGAGCACUGAGGAGAGGGGAACAAACUGUGACUGAGGGGGUUGGGGGGGGUGAGCCCAGACAGGAAUGCCUCGCUUGAAAGACCACAAAGCUGGGGGGGUUCAGGGAUGGAGUGGCAUAUGGGGAACCCAUGGUGAUCCCAGCACUGGCCGUAGUAGCACCAAACCAAGCUGUGCAGACAUCCGUACUUGAGGUCCUCAUCCCAGGUGACACCAGACCACCAGACACAGGUGGCCAGGAGCUGAGGACAUCUCUGAGCAAGGAUCUGAGCCCUACACCAUAUAACCAGGCUCUGAAAUCUAUGUUUAAGGGAAGACUCCCCUAACCUAAAAGGAAAACCAACUCACUGCUUUCCAGCGUGGUCCCACACACUUCCAGAGCAGGAAAUACCUGCAGAGAUGCUUCUUUUAGGCUGAGUUCAUCCAGGAGGGGAUGACCCAAUGUAUUUCUGCAUCGUGUGAAAACAAGGGAAGGCGCAGCGCUAACAAAAAGCCUGGCCCUGUUGUGCAUCGCCUUUUCUAUGCCCUAUUAAGGAGAAAGUAUGUGUUGUAUCAGCAUUUUGGGGUCAGCAUCGACAAGCAGAGCUGGGGUCGGGCUGUAUCCUGGCUCUAAGCAGUGGUCUCGCUGGCGCUGGGCAGCAGGGGAACGUCCCCUCUCCCCCCAGCAGGGUUAAGCCAGCGGGCUCCAAGCUGCAGCCUUUGCAGCCGGUAUUUCAGUCCCUUCCACAAAUAGCAACGUGGGAUUCCUCCCUCGGCUCCCGGAGAUGAGCAGCGAAGACGUGGAGAUGUUACUUGCAGCUAAACGGGGAUGGAUUCCUCCCAAAAAAGCCCGCGCCUCUCAG